CUGUCCUCGAAGCACCACGCACUCGUUCCGAUUAAACGUAACCGUCUCGCGUCAACUGCGCGUCUCUCGCCGCUCGACAACAUCCGCCGUUUCACGUCGCGACUAUCAUCCGACUUGUUCACAAUUUACAUUUUGAACGGGAAACAUUUAAAAAAAAAAAAAAAUAAUAAUAACAGUUUUCAAGAGUUUUCGCGGACCACGGUCUGCGACGGAGCGCUUACUAUUUAUUUGAGUAUAAAUAUUAAUCGGAGAAGAGCAACAAGCGGCGCCAACAAGCGAGUUUAAAGUAAUAAAAUAUUAAUAAUUAAAAACGUAGUCUGUUUCACUAUCUCCUAUCUCUUUCUAUCUGCUGUUCUAUACACUGCCUACAAAAAUGCAGC